CAUUCUUUUAAAAAUGUAAAAAAAAAAAAAAAAACAAAAAAAAAAAAACUCCUUUCCUCCCCUCAAGUCAACUUUUGUGCUCCAGAAAAUUUUCUAUUCCGUAAGUCUGAGCGUAAAAACUUCAAGUAUUAAAAUAAUUUGUACAUGUAGAGAGAAAAAUGACUUUUUCAAAAUAUACAGGGGCAGCUGCCAAAUUGAUGUAUUAUAUAUUGUGGUUCUGUUUCUUGAAAGAAUUUUUUUCGUUAUUUUUACAUCUAACAAAGGAAAAAAUUAAAAAGAGGGUAAGAAACGAUUCCAGCGGGAUGAUUUUAACAUGCAAAAUAUCCCUGGGGUUUCUUCUUUGCUUGCUUUCUUCCUCCUUACCCUGCCCCCACCCCCCCAUACACACAUACACACACACACACACACACACACACACUUUCUGUAAAACUUGAAAAUAGAAAGCAAAAACCCUCAACUGUUGUAAAUCAUGCAAUUAAAGUUGAUUACUUAUAAAUAUGAACUUUGGAUCACUGUAUAGACUGUUAAAUUUGAUUUCUUAUUACCUAUUGUUAAAUAAACUGUGUGAGACAGAUACCUGACCUUGUUUCACUUCUUGCCAUCACAUCUUUGUCUUAGCACACAUUGAUCUGAUUCAAUGUCUGGUACGUGGGGUUCAGAGGAAAAAACAAAAGCACUAGUUUGCAGCCUUCCUACACUAUUACAUAAAGUGAAUUCACAAAUAGAUUUUGGUAAGUUUAUCCAAAGUUCAGGGGAAAAACCAAAUACCAGCUAAAUGUCAAUUUCACCAAUUUUAAUUGAUAUUCAUUAGCUUUUCACAGCUUGACAUAGGACCUUAUAGGGAUAAGAGUGAGCACCUCAGCUGGAUCAUACCUAACUCAGAAGUAGCUCCUUGAGAAAACAGCACUUGCCUUGGGCGACAUAAGUGCUUACCCUCUGUUACACUUUGGUUUUGCUACCUGCUAACCAGUAAGUCGAUGAGAGGGGACGCAGGGUGAGGAUGUGAGAGAGGAAAAUGUGUGGAAGUAAAAUCUGGAAACCUAAGAGAUUACAACAAUGAGUCCAGUAUUGUGCUAGGUGUUUACAGAAUGAAGAGGUCUCCAACUAAAUCAUUAGAAACUUAAAAAGCAGAAUAUUGUUAGCUGCUUUGGCGUCAUCGGGCAGUCCUUGUUUUUGUCGUAGAGCUUUACCACAGUCCACUAAGGACUAAAGAAAGAUCUUCGAGUAGCUUAAUUCAAACACCUAUUCUAUUUUAUAUUGUCUCAACAAAAAUAACCAGCAUCUCGAUGUGAGAUGAACUCACGCGCUGAGCAUUAACCAGAGACCACUCCAGAAAAUGUCACGCACCUACCUGCCUUGGCUCGGUGGUCCAGCAGAUACACCUGGAGCACCUCCGUUCUGUGCCAGGCAGGAUGGCACACAAGGACAGGACGCAGCCCUGCAAGAAAAAAAGAUGCUUAAGGGGGAUAAAAGUAGAAAGCGUUGAUGGUACAAGCAGGGAACAGGUGCGAGUCGGCAAAACCUGCUGAUGGGAAAGUCUGGAAAGGAUAGUACUUAAAAUGGAUCUUGGGGGGCGCCUGGGUGGCGCAGUCGGUUAAGCGUCCGACUUCAGCCAGGUCACGAUCUCGCGGUCCGUGAGUUCGAGCCCCGCGUCGGGCUCUGGGCUGAUGGCUCAGAGCCUGGAGCCUGUUUCCGAUUCUGUGUCUCCCUCUCUCUCUGCCCCUCCCCCGUUCAUGCUCUGUCUCUCUCUGUCCCAAAAAUAAAUGUUGAAAAAAAAAAUUUUUUUUUAAAUAAAAAAAACAAAAAAAACAAAAUGGAUCUUGGAAGGGCGCCUGCCUGGCUGGUUCAGUCGGUAGAGAUGCGACUUAAUCACAGGGUCCCAAGGCCGAGCCCGUGUGGUGGUGUACAGUUUACAAUACAUGCGAUACUAAAAGAAAAUUUUAAAACCAAUCUUGGAGGGAAGAUGGAAAAGGUGGAGGAUGAGUAAGGAGAGAGAAGAAUCCGACCCUGUUGGGAAAACAGCUUCAAGGUCCACUUGACACCAGAUUACAGAAGAGGGUGGACGCCUGCUACAGAAACCCCCGCCCACCGUUUUCUCCCUAGUUCUAGGGGCCCAGGAUUAAUCGGAGCCCCCAACAGGGAAAUAACUCCGAAUUCUAAGCUAUUUCCAAGCAGUAAAUACUAGCCUCUAGCUAAGGACAGCUGGGUUGAAGUGUUCAAUCAUUUUCACUACAAUGUUGUAAAGAGGGAGUAGGGGCGGAAAUAAGCGGGAAGGGGGGAAAGCUGUCCUUCCCCAGGCCAGGGUCAGUGUUAGGGGGGUAGAUAAGGAUGAAUCCAGAAUCAGGAAUACAAGAAGCUGAUUUCAAUGUUUCUGUGUUUGAAUAUUCUCACCACGAAAAGUUGGGAAGAGCUGAAAGGCCCAAGUCUCUGGGCUGUUAAUAACACAUCAGUCUAGGAAGUGGACCCAAUGGGGGCGAGUAGUGUUCCAGGUGCUUCCAUUUACCUUGCUUACACACAGCCCCAACCGACAAAGGAAAAGUGACAAGUCGCUCAAGGUCACACAGCCAGUAAAUGGCUUCCCAGAGUCAAAGGUCUGUGGAGCUCCAAAGCCUCUCUUCUCCGUAUCAUUCAUCCCCCUUAAUACGGAGAAGCCCUAAUGAUGGCAUCAAAUUAACUACAUACGACACAGGGACCCCGUUCCAAGCAAAUGCAACAUACAGACUAAAACCUGAGAGGGGGGAGGGCAGCAGAGGGGGUGCAGGGAACAAGGAAUCAUAAAGAUAAGUUCCCCAGACUUCUUUUACAACCAGAUGGAUGGUGUCCUGGAAUGCUACGUUUGUGAUGAGGUCACCCUGGUUAAAGAGCACAGACCAGGAUCAAAAGUAAUAAAAUGUUUUAAGAAUAAAGUUAACAAAAGAGGUGUAAGAUUUGUACACUGAAAACUGAAAAAAAAAACAAACAAAAAAACUUUGUUCAUGCAUCAGAAGCCUGGGAAGACCUCACUAAUGCUGGGCAAAGGUUACGCUCCAAACCCAUCUAGAGAUUCAAUGCAACCCGUACCAAAUUAUCUGCUGGCUUUUUUUCUUUUUCCUUGGAAGACACUGAGAUGCCGAUCCUAAAUCGUAUAUGGAAAUGCAAAGGAGCCAAAUAGCCAAAACAAUCUUGAAAAAGAAGUAUAAAUUUGGAGGACUCAUACUUCCAAAUUUCAAAUUUAAACUACAAAUCUACAUUUCACGAAGAUGGCGCUAAAGGCAAAGAAGGAAGCCCCUGCCCCUCCCAAAGCUGAACUGAAAGCACAGGCUUUGAAUGCCAAGAAAGUGGUGCUGAGAGGCGUCCACAGUCACCAAAAAAAGAAGAAGAAGAAGAAGAAGAAGAAGAAGAAGAAGAAGAAGAAGAUGAUGAUGAUCCGGGGCUCCUGUCUGGCUCAAUCGGAAGAGCACGCAACUCCUGAUCUUGGGGUUAUAAGUUCAAGCCCCACAUUGGGGGUAGAGAUCGUUAAAAAAAAAUACACUUUAAAACAAGAAAAGAAGAUCCGCACGUCACCCACAUUCCUAUGGCCCAAGACACUGAGUCUCCUAGGGCAGCCCAAAUAUCCUUGAAAGAGGCCCCCUAGGAGAAACCAGCUAGAGCACUACGCCAUCAUCAAGUUCCCCCUGACUACCGAGUCAGAUAUGAAGAAAAUAGAAGACAACAAUACACUUGUGUUCAUUGUGGAUGUUAAGGCCAACAAGCACCAGAUCAAACAGGCUGUGAAGAAGCUCUAUGACACUGAUGUGGCCAAGGCCAACACCCUGAUCAGGCCCGGCAGAGAGAAGAUGGCAUAUGUUCGAAUGGCUCCUGACUAGGAGGAUGCUUUGGAUAUUGCCAACAAAAUCGGGAUCAUCUAAACUGAGUCCAACUGGCCAAAUUUAAAUUUUUUCACUGUAAAAAAUUUUAAUACAAAAUAAACU
rnacentral:lncRNA from 1 species